ACGGAGAGAGAGAUUCUGUCUCAGCUUGAUCAUCCUUUCUUGCCUACUCUUUACUCUCACUUUGAGACUGAUAAGUUCUAUUGCUUGGUCAUGGAGUUUUGUAGCGGAGGCAAUCUUUAUUCCUUGAGGCAGAAGCAACCUAACAAGUGUUUCACAGAAGAAGCUGCAAGGUUAGUGUUCUAAAAAAUUUGUAUAGUCAUCACCUAAGCACCCAUUUAGGCAGCAAAUUGGUUAUAAACGAAACGAUUUUUCUAAAAUUCAGUCUAGAUAACACAUGUCUAGGUGCUAAUCCUUCAUAAAAAACGCUUAAUUGUCUAGUAAUUUCUUGAACAUUGACAGAUACAUUAUAUUAUAUGUAGUAAUUUUGUUUAUAAAUUUAUAUUGAAAAGGCAAAACUAUGAUCUUUGUGAAACAAAUAAAAAUUCCAAAACUACUAUUUUUGGAACAGAGUUUUUAGUAUAUUAAAACAGAGCAAAACCAAAGUAUGGAAACACAACAUGUGUUCUGUUUUGUUGUUGGUUAACAGGUUCUUUGCAUCAGAAGUCUUACUAGCGUUAGAAUACUUACACAUGCUCGGAAUCGUGUACCGAGACUUAAAGCCAGAGAACGUUCUGGUCCGAGACGACGGUCACAUCAUGCUCUCCGACUUCGACUUAUCUCUCCGUUGCUCAGUCAACCCAACACUAGUCAAAUCUCCCUCCGUCCAC
rnacentral:lncRNA from 1 species